UUGAGGGUGAGACGUGAUGCCGAGCCGUAUCAGGUGAAGUGGAUGAUCCUAUGCUGCCGAGAAAAGCCUCUAGCGAUGUUGUGCGCGGCCCGUACCCUAAACCGACACAGGUGGUCAGGUAGAGAAUACCAAGGCGAUCGGGUGAACUGUGGUUAAGGAACUCGGCAAAUUGCCCCCGUAACUUAGGGAGAAGGGGGGCCACUGCUGGUGAACGGACUUGCUUCGGGAGCUGGUGGUGGUCGCAGAGAGCAGGGGGAAGCGACUGUUUACUAAAAACACAGGUCCAUGCCAAGUCGUAAGACGCUGUAUAUGGACUGACGCCUGCCCGGUGCUGGAACGUUAAAAGGACCUGUUAGCCUCUAGGGGCGAAGCGGAGAAUUGAAGCGCCAGUAAACGGCGGUGGUAACUAUAACCAUCCUAAGGUAGCGAAAUUCCUUGUCGGGUAAGUUCCGACCUGCACGAAUGGCGUAACGACUUCCCCACUGUCUCGACCACAGGCCCGGCGAAAUUGCAGUACGAGUAAAGAUGCUCGUUACGCGCGGCAGGACGGAAAGACCCCGGGACCUUCACUAUAGCUUGACAUUGGCAUUUGAAUUUAAUUGUGUAGGAUAGGUGGGAGCCUGUGAAGUGUGGACGCCAGUCCAUGUGGAGGCAAUCUUGAAAUACCACUCUGUUGAAUUUGGGUGUCUAGCCACGGACCCUGAUCGGGUUCUGGGACCGUGUCUGGUGGGUAGUUUAACUGGGGCGGUUGCCUCCUAAAAGGUAACGGAGGCGCCCAAAGGUUCCCUCAGCCUGGUUGGCAAUCAGGUGUUGAGUGUAAGUGCACAAGGGAGCUUGACUGUGAGACUGACAGGUCGAGCAGGGACGAAAGUCGGGACUAGUGAUCCGGCACCGGCAUGUGGAAGCGGUGUCGCUCAACGGAUAAAAGGUACCCCGGGGAUAACAGGCUGAUCUUCCCCAAGAGUCCAUAUCGACGGGAUGGUUUGGCACCUCGAUGUCGGCUCGUCGCAUCCUGGGGCUGGAGUAGGUCCCAAGGGUUGGGCUGUUCGCCCAUUAAAGCGGUACGCGAGCUGGGUUUAGAACGUCGUGAGACAGUUCGGUCCCUAUCCGCCGCGCGCGUAGGAAACUUGAGAAGGGCUGUCCCUAGUACGAGAGGACCGGGACGGACGAACCUCUAGUGUGCCAGUUAUCCCGCCAGGGGUACGGCUGGUUAGCCACGUUCGGAAGGGAUAACCGCUGAAAGCAUCUAAGCGGGAAGCCUGCUUCAAGACCACGUUUCCCACCCGUACAGCAAUGUGCGGGGUAAGGCCCCCGGCCAGACCACCGGGUAGACAGGCCAGAUGUGUAAGCCCAGCAAUGGGUUCAGCUGACUGGUACUGAUAGGCCGAGGACUUCUCA
rnacentral:rRNA from 1 species